CUUAGCUUCAUAUUCGGUGCGCACUAGUAUUUUUUUAGCUCUAAUUUUCAAAAAUAAAAAAUAAAAAAUUAUUAGCUCUCGAACCAUUUUGGUAAAUAUUCUCCAACAAAAGCUUACCAAUUCCCGAUGAAAAAAAAAAAAGAAAAAAAAAGGGGGGUUCUCGCCCAUCUUUCCCACGGAUUUCUUAUUCUCUUCGCUGCGACAAUUUGAGGGUUUGUUUUGUGGAACUUCUCCAGAAUCCUAAAGGCUGAGAACGCAAGUGAAUAAAUAUGUUGGAGUCACAAUUGCUGAUCCAGAGUUCACCACUUCUUUUCCUUUUAUUAUCUAGCUUUGAUUUCGCAAGACAACAUUAAAUUAUCCUGGUGGCGAAGUUUCCACGACUGUCAUACUUCAGAACAACCAAAUAAGCUAUAAAAUGGAAGACCCUGGGAGUGAUCUCCAGGGAAAAUCAUUGGUUAUAACCAAAUGACGUGUUACCUCUUUCGUCGAGUACACCAUCCUCAAUGAACUUGGGGAUUCUCAGCAUAAAUGCAAGCAACGCCGCGGAGGGAGGCCAAAAGGAAACUGCUCUAAUGCCCAUCUUCUUAGCCACAGCAAAAGACCACCCCAUAUUCGCAUCCGCGACCAUCCACUUAAUCUUGCAACUCUCUCCUUCGGCGUCGUUAAUCUCUCUAAUGAGCUUCUCUAAAUGACCAGGCAUGACCACCGUGAACCCUUCGGUAAGCCUUCCAAGAUCAUUCCUGUCCUCACCCGGACCCAAUCCGUCCGGAAUAGAGACCAUAUUUAUCCCUCUGCAGAGAUCUCCUUUCUCAGAUAAGGCGCUGAGAAUGCGCCUGUGGUUGAAGUCGGUGUUGACGAAGGUGAUCUUGAAGCCGUGUUCUACUAAGCAGUGAGAGAGCUCCAUGAGGGGGAUCACAUGGCCUUGGGCUGGGAAAGUGUGAAAGUAGAUGUUGAUGAGGAUCUGCUCAGCGUAGUUCGGCUCUUUCCUUUUCUUCUACAGCACACAGAGUCAGAGUGAUGGCAACAGGUCUUGUUCUUCUUUGGCUCAGUUUUUUAAAUAGCUUCUAUGUAGUGUGCGGAAGAUUAGUGCAGAAUAAUUUUCUUUUGUUUUGUUCCUUUAAAUUCAAAAUUGCGCAUGGUUUGCCGCUUCUUUGAAAAAGUAAUAUUGGUUUUAUGGGAUCUUA